rnacentral:rRNA from 1 species
GAUGAACGCUAGCUACAGGCUUAACACAUGCAAGUCGAGGGGCAGCAUUUUAGUUUGCUUGCAAACUAAAGAUGGCGACCGGCGCACGGGUGAGUAACACGUAUCCAACCUGCCGAUAACUCGGGGAUAGCCUUUCGAAAGAAAGAUUAAUAUCCGAUGGUAUAUUAAAACCGCAUGGUUUUACUAUUAAAGAAUUUCGGUUAUCGAUGGGGAUGCGUUCCAUUAGUUUGUUGGCGGGGUAACGGCCCACCAAGACUACGAUGGAUAGGGGUUCUGAGAGGAAGGUCCCCCACAUUGGAACUGAGACACGGUCCAAACUCCUACGGGAGGCAGCAGUGAGGAAUAUUGGUCAAUGGACGAGAGUCUGAACCAGCCAAGUAGCGUGAAGGAUGACUGCCCUAUGGGUUGUAAACUUCUUUUAUAUGGGAAUAAAGUAUUCCACGUGUGGGAUUUUGUAUGUACCAUAUGAAUAAGGAUCGGCUAACUCCGUGCCAGCAGCCGCGGUAAUACGGAGGAUCCGAGCGUUAUCCGGAUUUAUUGGGUUUAAAGGGAGCGUAGGUGGAUUGUUAAGUCAGUUGUGAAAGUUUGCGGCUCAACCGUAAAAUUGCAGUUGAAACUGGCAGUCUUGAGUACAGUAGAGGUGGGCGGAAUUCGUGGUGUAGCGGUGGAAUGCUUAGAUAUCACGAAGAACUCCGAUUGCGAAGGCAGCUCACUAGACUGCAACUGACACUGAUGCUCGAAAGUGUGGGUAUCAAACAGGAUUAGAUACCCUGGUAGUCCACACAGUAAACGAUGAAUACUCGCUGUUUGCGAUAUACAGUAAGCGGCCAAGCGAAAGCAUUAAGUAUUCCACCUGGGGAGUACGCCGGCAACGGUGAAACUCAAAGGAAUUGACGGGGGCCCGCACAAGCGGAGGAACAUGUGGUUUAAUUCGAUGAUACGCGAGGAACCUUACCCGGGCUUAAAUUGCAUUUGAAUAAUCUGGAAACAGGUUAGCCGCAAGGCAAAUGUGAAGGUGCUGCAUGGUUGUCGUCAGCUCGUGCCGUGAGGUGUCGGCUUAAGUGCCAUAACGAGCGCAACCCUCAUCUUUAGUUACUAACAGGUCAUGCUGAGGACUCUAGAGAGACUGCCGUCGUAAGAUGUGAGGAAGGUGGGGAUGACGUCAAAUCAGCACGGCCCUUACGUCCGGGGCUACACACGUGUUACAAUGGGGGGUACAGAAGGCAGCUACCUGGCGACAGGAUGCUAAUCCCAAAAACCUCUCUCAGUUCGGAUCGAAGUCUGCAACCCGACUUCGUGAAGCUGGAUUCGCUAGUAAUCGCGCAUCAGCCAUGGCGCGGUGAAUACGUUCCCGGGCCU